rnacentral:rRNA from 1 species
AGGACGAACGCUGGCGGCGUGCUUAACACAUGCAAGUCGAGCGGAAAGGCCCUUUCGGGGGUACUCGAGCGGCGAACGGGUGAGUAACACGUGAGUAACCUGCCCUGGACUUUGGGAUAACCCUCGGAAACGGGGGCUAAUACCGGAUACGACUUUUCCCUGCAUGGGGAUUGGUGGAAAGUUUUUCGGUCUGGGAUGGGCUCGCGGCCUAUCAGCUUGUUGGUGGGGUAAUGGCCUACCAAGGCGACGACGGGUAGCC